CGUAGGGUGCGAGCGUUAAUCGGAAUUACUGGGCGUAAAGCGUGCGCAGGCGGUUUUGUAAGACAGAUGUGAAAUCCCCGGGCUCAACCUGGGACCUGCAUUUGUGACUGCAAGGCUAGAGUACGGUAGAGGGAGAUGGAAUUCCGCGUGUAGCAGUGAAAUGCGUAGAUAUGCGGAGGAACACCGAUGGCGAAGGCAAUCCCCUGGACCUGUACUGACGCUCAUGCACGAAAGCGUGGGGAGCAAACAGGAUUAGAUACCCUGGUAGUCCACGCCCUAAACGAUGUCAACUGGUUGUUGGGUCUUUACUGACUCAGUAACGAAGCUAACGCGUGAAGUUGACCGCCUGGGGAGUACGGCCGCAAGGUUG
rnacentral:rRNA from 1 species